UGUGACAACCCAUUUCACACAAAACCAGCUAAGGAAAGAUAGUUUAGAAGGAUUAGGGCCUUCAGGGCUGGGGUGGGAGUGUGUUCUUUUAAAUAGAAUGGAUAAGAAAGACUUCUCUGAUCAAACAGUAUUUGGGCAGAGACUCCAAGGAAGCAUGGGAACAGUCUUGAUGCAGAUUUCUGGGGGAAGAGCCCCCCUGGACACAGAAGGCAGCCAGUGCAAAAGCCCUGAGACAGAAGGCUUGGCAGAGGGUGCAGCAGGGCUAGUGUGAACAGUCAAGCGGGUGGAAAGGGAGUGAUGGGGGAAUGGGGUCCAGGACAUUUGGGAGACUGGAUCCUAGAUGGCUUUCUAGGUCAAGGGAAGGCCUUGGGAUCCUCUAAGAAGAAUAGGAAGCCAUCAGAGAGUUUCAAGCAGAGAAAUUACAUUUCAGGACGAUCACUCUGGCUGCUGCAUAGAAGACACACAAUUGGGAGACAAGGGUUUAAAUAGGAGAGUAGUUAGGCCACUGUAAAAAUCAAGGCAAUAGAUUAGAGUGGCUUGGGAGAAGUGGCAGGUGGAGGUGUUAAGGUGGCUUCUACUUUUGGUUACACGCUGAAGCUAAAGCCAACAGAAUUUGCUGACAGAUUGGAUGUGGGAUCACUUCACAGUCUCAUUUCCCUGGAACUGCUACAAGCCUGGCUUUUCUAGCCUUGGAGAGGCACUCAAAGAAGGCUCAGAGCAGGUGAGCAAAAGGCAAGAGACAGGAGAGGAAGCCAGGCAGUGAGGUCAUCAGGAGGCCACGUUGUGGAGCCAGAGGUCAGAGCACUUUGAGAUCUGCACAGGAAGCACACAGCUCUGGUUACCACUGGAAGCUGUCUUGCCCCCACAAGCCAGCCUUAAGAUGCUGCUGAUGCUGGGAUUGCAGAAUGGAGUAACAGAGAAGUAAGUUGUUGAUGACACCAUUCACUGCUGAUUGUAGCAUGUCUGGAGUCUGCUGUACAUCUAGAUUUCAGUUAUUUCCAGAUAUUUUAAUGGAACUUAAGCCAAUGUGAAUCAUGUUUUCAUGACUUGCAUCAGAAAGUAUUGUCACUGAUACAGAGCUGCAUAACUUGACUUUGAAGAAUCUGUGACUAAAAGGAUGUAAGAGUCAGUUAGCUAUAAAAAUGGAUGACAGACUAGGUGUGGUGGCUCAUGCUUGUAAUCUUAAUGCUUUUGGAGGCUGAGGUGGGAG